AUGUCGUGCUCCUGCCGCGGGGCGCCCUCCUCCGACGCCUCGCCGUCCUCCCCGCCGCCGUUCACCCGCGCCGCCUCGUCCGCGCCCUGCACGCUGCCCUCCUCCGCCAGGUGGUUGCCGAGCUCGGCUCCGGCCUCCGGCUCCUCCGGCUCCCCCGGCUCCUCCGGCUCCUCCUGCUCCCCCGGAUCCCCCGGCUCCCCCGGCUCCCCCGGCUCCUCCGCCUGCGCGCUGCCGUCGGGGGGCUCCUCCUCGCCCCCGCCGGCGCCCCCGGGCCGCGCUCUCGCCUCUCCUGCUCCUCCGUCCCCUCCUGGGGUCCCCCCAGGUCCUCCACGGCUGCCGCCCUCGCGUCCCCCGCUUCCUCGGUCCCCGCCGCACCCCGAGGCUCCCCUGCAAGCCCCCCGGGGGCCCCCUCAGUGGGCUGGGGGCCGGGGUCCCCCCCGUCCCCGGGCUCCCCCUGGGGCCCGUGCGCCCCUCCCGCCUGCUCCGCGGCUGCCAUGCUCGCCGCCUGCGCCCCCUGCGCCCCCCGGACUGCCGCCGCCCGCUCCCUCCGGCCCUUGCUCCGCUGUCUCCUUCGCGUCGGGCGCCUCGGGCUCCUCGGGCUCCUCGGGGCUCCCCCGCAGCUCCCCCGAGGCCUCGCCCUCCUCUCCCCGGGGGACCUCGGCGCACCCCGGGGCGCCCUCCGCGGCGUCCGCCUCGCCCGGUGCUGCGCCCGCGCCCCGCGCCUCGGCCCCCGGGUCCCCGUGGGCGUCCGGCCCCCGCUCGCCCGCGCGCCCCUUGUCCGGAUGGGCGCCUCCCGCGGGGCUCAGGGCGGCCGUGGCGGCUGCGCCCUCCCCCUCGCCCCGCGGCGCCCCCGCGGCGCCCUCGCCGGCCUCCGCCCGCCCCGCCUCCGCGCCCGCCUUCUCCGCCGUUGGCGCGGGGACCUCAGGCGGCCCCGGGGGCCCUGGGGGGGCGCCCUCCAGCUCCGCGGCCUCGGCCAUGGCCGCAGCGCCCUGUCCGCCCCUGGGGAGCGCUCCUCGACCCUGCGGUGGAGCAGGUGCCCCGCGGCCGCUGCGCCCCUCCUAG
rnacentral:lncRNA from 1 species